rnacentral:rRNA from 1 species
UCUGACGGAGCACGCCGCGUGAGCGAUGAAGGCCUUCGGGUCGUAAAGCUCUGUUGUUAGGGAAGAACAAGUACCGUUCGAAUAGGGCGGUACCUUGCCGGUACCUAACCAAAAAGCCACGGCUAACUACUUGCCACCACCCGCGGUAAUACUUAGGGGGCAAGCGUUGCCCGGAAUUAUGGGGCGUAAAGCGCGCGCAGGCGGUUCCUUAAUUCUGAUGUGAAACCCCACGGCUCACCCGGGAAGGGUCAUUGGAAACUGGGGAACUUGAUUGCAAAAAAGAAAAGCGAAAUUCCCCGUGUACCGGUGAAAUGCGUAAAGAUGUGAAGGAACCCCAUUGGCAAAGGCGGUUUUCUGGUCUGUAACUGACCCUAAGGCCCGAAACCG